AUGAAGCUUCUUCCGGCCGCCCUCGGCCUCGUCCUCCUCCUGCUCGUUCUGAAUCCCAAUGGCGUGGAGGCCCGGCCAGCCCCGGCUGGUGGCCAUCAGAAGAAGGCGUCGAGCGCUACCUUCUUCGUCUUCGGGGAUGACUUCGCCGACAACGGGAACCUUCCUCUGACCGACCCAGUCACCAGGAUGUCGAGGCAAUGGGCCUACCCCUACGGCUCCAACUACAUCGAUGCCGAUGGGUUUCCGCGGCCGAAUACUCCGUCCGGCCGCUUCUCAAACUAUAAAAUCCAGUCGGAUUUCAUCGCAACAAUGCUGGGAUUGGAGGAAGCCCCUCCGGCGCAUGCCCGCACGGCAGAGAAAACCUGCGACCCAUCCGGCAUGACCUUUGCUACCGGUGGUGCAGGCGUGUUGGACAGUACAUCACACGAGGUCCCCGCCCUCGCCAAGCAGAUUAAUGCUUAUAUUGGAAAGGUGACAAAAGAGAUUGCAGCUAAUGUGGAUCAAUUGUUGAAGCUUGGGGUGACAAAGGUUCUUGUCAAUAACUUGCACCCUAUCGGUUGCACGCCAUCACACACCCGAACCAACAACUACACCACGUGUGAUAUUCUUGAAAACUUGGGUGCAUCAAUCCACAACGAUAAUCUGAAACAAGUUAUGGCAUCAAAGAAGAAUGUCUACAUCAUCGACGUGUACACGGCCUUUGCCAAUAUUGUGGAUCAUGCAGCAGGCAAAGGCUCAGAGAUGUCCAAACAAUUCAAGCGCAAACAAUCGCCGUGCUGCGAGACUUUGAAUUCGAAUGGUUACUGCGGACAGCAGGGCGAGUCAUCCGCGGAGCUUCUGUACACAGUGUGUGACAAGUCGAGCAAAUUCUUCUAUUGGGACGACAUGCACCCAACACAUGCAGGAUGGGAAGCUGUCAUGAAACAGUUGGAAAAACCCUUGAGGGAGUUUGUAAACCGAGCGUAG
rnacentral:rRNA from 1 species